GAUUAACGCUGGCGGCGCACAUAAGACAUGCAAGUCGAACGGACUUAACCGAAAGUUUACUUUGGAGCGGUUAGUGGCGGACGGGUGAGUAACGCGUAAGCAACCUGCCCUUCAGAUGGGGACAACAGCUGGAAACGGCUGCUAAUACCGAAUACGUUCUUUUGUCGCAUGGCAGAGAGAAGAAAGGGAGGCUCUUCGGAGCUUUCGCUGAAGGAGGGGCUUGCGUCUGAUUAGCUAGUUGGAGGGGUAACGGCCCACCAAGGCGACGAUCAGUAGCCGGUCUGAGAGGAUGAACGGCCACAUUGGGACUGAGACACGGCCCAG
rnacentral:rRNA from 1 species